UAUGGCCCCCGUAGACCCAUGAGUUUGAAUGUUUGGCCCAUAGGGAGUGGCACUAUUGGGGUGUGUCAUCUUGUUGGAGGAGUGUGUCAGAGUGGAGGCUGACUUUGAGAUGUCAUACCCUCAAGCUAUGCCUAGUCUCCAUCUGCUGCCUACAGAUAAAGAUGUAAAACUCUCAGCUACCUCUCCAGCACCUGUUUGCCUGCAUGCCACCCAUCAUGAAGAUAAUGGACUGAAUCUCUGAACUGUCUCAUGCUGUCCAGGUUGGCCUCAAGCUCCUCAUAUAGCCUAGACUAGCCUUCAUCUUCCGACCCUCCUGACCCAAUCUCACAAAUGCUGAGAUUUUAGGCAUGUACCACCAUUGCCUGCCAGCCAAACUGCAUUAAAAACCAUUUGGAAUAGAGAUUAACAUCACCGACCGAACAGUGAAGAUGCACUGGACAUUUCACUCUUGUCUUCCCUUCCUCAAAAUGGAGUCUUACAGGGAGACUCAUUCUCCCAAUUUAAUGACAAGAAAAUGAAAACUUGGAGCCUUUAAGGAUCUCACCUGGAAAAUUACAAGCAAUCAACCAGAAAGUUGCAGGGCUGGUUGGAAGCACAGAGUGUUCUAUGGUGUCCAAAUUACUCUGCCUUGGGUGUGUGGUUUUAUUUUUACAUCCUGUAAAUGGAUUUUUUUUUUUUUUGGUUUUUCGAGACAGGGUUUC